GACGAACGCUGGCGGCGUGCUUAACACAUGCAAGUCGAACGGAAAGGCCCUGCUUUUGUGGGGUGCUCGAGUGGCGAACGGGUGAGUAACACGUGAGUAACCUGCCCUUGACUUUGGGAUAACUUCAGGAAACUGGGGCUAAUACCGGAUAGGAGCUCCUGCUGCAUGGUGGGGGUUGGAAAGUUUCGGCGGUUGGGGAUGGACUCGCGGCUUAUCAGCUGGUUGGUGGGGUAGUGGCUUACCAAGGCUUUGACGGGUAGCCGGCCUGAGAGGGUGACCGGCCACAAUGGGACUGCGAUACGGCCCAGACUCCUACGGGAGGCAGCAGUGGGGAAUAUUGCAGAAUGGGCGGAAGCCUGAUGCAGCAACGCCGCGUGCGGGAUGACGGCUUUCGGGUUGUAAACCGCUUUCGCAUGUGACGAAGCGUGAGUGACGGUAAUGGGUAAAGAAGCACCGGCUAACUACGUG
rnacentral:rRNA from 1 species